rnacentral:rRNA from 1 species
UAUCCGGAUUUAUUGGGUUUAAAGGGUGCGUAGGCGGCCAACUAAGUCAGACGUGAAAUCCCUCGGCUUAACCGGGGAACUGCGUCUGAUACUGGAUGGCUUGAGGUUGGGAGAGGGAUGCGGAAUUCCAGGUGUAGCGGUGAAAUGCGUAGAUAUCUGGAGGAACACCGGUGGCGAAGGCGGCAUCCUGGACCAAUUCUGACGCUGAGGAGCGCAAGCCAGGGGAGCAAACGGG